rnacentral:rRNA from 1 species
CUAGCCCAAGCAAACACCAACUCAACUACCACUGCAACCCCAAAUCAAAACAUUUAGCCACUCAUUGCAGUAUAGGAGAUAGAAAUUCUACUUGGAGCCAUAGAGAAAGUACCGUAAGGGAAUGAUGAAAGAUAAUUUAAAGUAAUAGACAGCAAAGACUGCCCCUUGUACCUUUUGCAUAAUGAGCUAGCUAGAACAAUUUAGCGAAGAGACCUUAAGCUAGCUCCCCCGAAACCAGACGAGCUACCUGUGAGCAAUCCAUAGGGGUGAACUCAUCUAUGUCCCGAAAUAGUGAGGAGAUUAAUAGGUAGAGGUGCGAAGCCCAACGAGCCUGGUGAUAACUGGUUGCCCAGGAUAGAAUCUCAGAUCAACUUUACAUAUACCUACAAACCCCAAAAUUAUUAUGUUAAUUUAAGAUAUAAUCUCUAAAGGCACAACUGUUUAGAACAAGGAUGAGACCUUCCUUAGAGAGUACAAGCUGUCUGUGA